AGGGGGCAAGGAGCGUGACUGGCUUCAGGGGCCGAGUUUGGAGGAGAGAAACUGAAAUAAUCCCUGCUUGAGCUAAAGUCAGGGGAACCACUUUUUUAUGGCUCUCACCUAAGGUCUUGAGCUUAUUUUAGGCAUCAGUGGAUGAAGAGGGCACCUUCCUCUUUGUCGAACCUUUUUUCAGUCUCCUCAGCUCUCCAGAUUUCAUUUCUAUAAUAAAAAAGAAGUCAGUAUCUGUAAAAAUAAGAGAAACAUGCAUCGAAAAGAU
rnacentral:lncRNA from 1 species